rnacentral:rRNA from 1 species
UACGUAGGGUGCAAGCGUUACUCGGAAUCACUGGGCGUAAAGGGCGCGUAGGCGGCCUAGCAAGUCUGGUGUGAAAGCCCAGGGCUCAACCCUGGAAGGGCACUGGAAACUGUUAGGCUUGAGUUCCGGAGAGGAGGGGGGAAUUCCCGGUGUAGCGGUGAAAUGCGUAGAUAUCGGGAGGAAUACCGGUGGCGAAGGCGGCCCUCUGGACGGAAACUGACGCUGAGGCGCGAAAGCGUGGGGAGAAAACAGG